GGGGGGGGGGGGGGGGGGGGGGGGGGGGGGGGGGGCGGGGGGGGGGGCGGGGGGGGGGUGGGGUGCGGGAGGGGCGGGGGGGUGGGGGACAGGUGGGUGACCUGCGGUUGACGUUGGGAUAACGUCAGGAAGGUGGGGCGAAUACCGGAGAGGAGCUCCUGCUGCAUUGUGGGGGUUGGAAUGUGUCGGCGGUUGGGGAUGGACUGGCGGCUUAUCAGCUUGUGGGUGGGGUAGUGGCUUACCAAGGCGUUGACGGGUAGCCGGCCUGAGAGGGUGACCGGCCACAUUGGGACUGAGAUACGGCCCAGAUUCCUACGGGAGGCAGAAGUGGGGAAUAUUGCACAAUGGGCGGAAGCCUGAUGCAGCAACGCCGCGUGCGGGAUGACGGCCUUCGGGUUGUAAACAGCUUUCGCCUGUGACGAAGAGUGAGUGACGGUAAUGGGUAAAGAAGCACCGGCUAACUACGUG
rnacentral:rRNA from 1 species